GCGUUUAUAGUGUAGUGGUAACACCCUGUACUUCCAAUUCAGUAUCUUCGGUUCGAAUCCGAAUAGACGCUCCA
rnacentral:tRNA from 1 species